GAUUCCGAACACCUCACUGUACGGCUGAAACGGCGUCGAUUUGGGGGCCGCCUCUUCCGUGCGGGUCCCGAUCACGUCUCCGGCUAAGUUCUUAGCCAGGUUCUGGUCUAGUGAAUCUAUAUCGAAUUGGAGAUACUCGGCCGGUUUACCUAAACCAAACGGAUCAAACCCGUAAUCUCCAACCAACGAACCGUCGAGCCAGUCAGGAGAUUUGGCGCCUGGGAACCAGAGAGGCCGGUCCGAAGUCACCUUCUUGGGCGCGGUCUUUUUGGGAGCUUUCUUUCCGAACCCAAACCGGGCUGUAAACCGACCAGAACCGGAAUGGAUACCGGGAGCCACCCGAGUACCCAUGAUGGAAGAAGCAGCGGCAGCGGUUGAAGUUGCGGCCAUCUCGGGCGGUGUGUGUUUUGUUAGAUUUUUUGUGAUUUCAGGAGAUGGAAGGAACUUGUGUUUCUUUAAUCCGAGAUUAUAGAUGCCAUGAGGAUAGACGAUUUUUCUUUCGAUCUGGGGUGAUCUUGGAGAGGCGAUCAUUACCGUUGGAUCGAUUGACAAAAUCCAUCUGACGGUGAAAAACACUAUCUACCUUAUCUAUUGAAUUCUGCGUUAUCUGAGUGAUGUUUCAAGUUUCCAACUGGCGAUAGAAUCUGGAUGAGCUAUAAUCUGAUUGGGUAGAUUAACUUCUUUUCGAAUUAAACAAAGCCACGUGUAAUAGUGAUACUGUCCCACCAUCGGUUUGAUACCAGCUGACCGGUCUGAUCGUAAAACCAAUCGAUCCCUACCUAAACCAAAUUAUGCGUAACUGAAAUGUAGAAAAGAAAGCCACUGCUUUCAUAUCAUUCCAUAUUGAUUUUCUUUAAACCAAGACAAACUACAAUCUGAAUUUAGUGGCAAAUGUAUACUACAUAUAUUGGAAAAUGAGGAUCAAUAAAUGUCAAAUAACCAGAGGUUUGUUUUGUUAUAUACAAAUCCAGAUCAGUGACUGAAAGAGCUAAUUUAAAGCAAAAGGAACGGAAAGACAUAAAUUUUAUCUACAAAGUGGGCACUGAAAAGAAAUGAUAGAAAUUGCUAUGUGCAGGCAGAACAAGGAGAUAGCUUACGAGGAGGAGGAUGUUCACCGAGGAAUAGGAGCGUAAGGAACAAGAGUUGGGUCCGUAGCAACGAGAGGCAAUUUGUCAAUGUACAUUAACAACCUCUUCAGAUUCUCCUUGUAAAUAGCCGGUAGCUCCACAAUCUCUUUGAUCGAAGUGUAAAGCCAUAGAUCACCAGAAUUCACUCUUUUCAAGCUGCCUCGACAGAACGGGCACGACUGUGACCUUGCGCGCCUGUUUCAAACAACAUGCAGGGUUCUUUAACUUAAUAAGGGCUGAUGGGUGACGAAAGAAACACUUGAGAGUAAGUAAAAAAAAAAAAAAGAAAGAAGGUGAAACACUUACCAGUUUCUGUAGCAAUUGAUACACAUGGAGUGAUUGCAAGUAGGAAGAACAACUUUAUUUCGAACCUCCAAGCAAAUGCCACACUCUUCUUCCCUCUCCAAAUCGAUCUCUGACAUCUUCCCUUUCUCUGUCUUGUCCUUCUUCAGGUAUCUUUUGUCGCAUAUCUCCUUUUGUUUCCUUUCUUCUACAUCGGUUAUCCCUCCGUGAAGUUGCAAUAGCGAAGGAAACAACACAUCUGUCCCCAUCAACAUCCUUUGUUAGUCAGACUGCAAAGACACUAAGUGAUUAACUAGGUGUGACAUUAGUACCAUAGAAUUCUUUGAUACUAGCUUUGCGUUCGUGUAGAGACAUUGUAGUCUUCCCAUCAACAUAUGCCUGUAAAGAAAAUAAAAACAGAGAAUCAUAAAUCAGGCAAAAAGAACAGGGGAUCAAGAACAGGCGGAAAGAAUAAACUGAUGAGAAAGAAGACCUUAUAAAUAAGGAUCCUAAGCAAUCCCAAAGCGCCUGCGAAAUGACAAUCUGUCCACUGAAGAAGGAAGAGAAAGAGAUGAGCCGCUGGGCUGUAAGACAAUCUCAUCUGCACGCAGCCACCAUCAUACUCCUCUGGAUACUCGGAUGCCCUUCAAAACCAGAAAUCAUUUUCGUUUAACCAGCUUUAUUGAUUGAUUUCGCUAGCUAUGAUCUUGAUUCUAUGAUUUGUUUAUUCACAGCUCUAUCCACUAUACCAAAGUCAAGUUAAUUCUAUACGACAAAAGAAAAAUAUUUUGACCAACGUAGAUUUUAGUGGAUAGACCAAAAGUGGUGGGUGGCGUCUGAGACUAGCAAAGGUAAUUAAAAACAAAAAAAAAACAAAAUUGGAAUCUGUCAGCUCGCGUAAACGCAAAGUCUCAUAUUAACAUCUGACAUCAGCUCAGCACACAAAAAAAAAACCAAGCAGACAACAGAGAUUCAGAUUCACAAUUAUCCAAACUGAAAAACCCAUUUCGAUAGAACUCAGAACUGUGUAAACAGUUUAAUCCAUUGAAAUCAAAAUCUAUCGAAGCGCAAGAGAGGAAAAUCAGCAACUCAAACAACGGGCACCGAAAAUACAAGCUUUAAUCACGACAACAAACAAAUUUCCGACGCGAUUAGACCACUCUCUACGAAGAACACAACGAUCAGACGACACCGAAACAUCCAAACAUGCCCUAUAUAUAUGUAUAUAAACAACGGAUAGAGACUUACAGGGUGUUGGCGAACUGGAUAUCAGCUUCGAGAGCUUUAAGUGAAUCCUUGAACGAUUUUCGCAUUUUUCCUUCACUCCAGUAUAGAGACGAUCCAACAUAAAACUAUCUUCCGAGAGCGAGUCCCUAAAACCCUAAAUCCUUUUUUUUGUAAUCCUCGAGAUCAACUACACCGACACAAGCCUAAAAUAUCGCAAACCUUAACAACUCGAAUUGAUUCUCUCUCCCAUUUCCAUGGAAGAUUUUUUGAAAUUUACUUACUCAACCCAACCGAGGUAGCGACAGGGAGAGAGAGAGAGAGAAAGAGGAAGAAAGUUGCAAAAUUCGCGUAGAGCACACGUAAGAUAAGAUCAUAAAAAUACAAAGGGAGCGUCUUAAGCUUUUUUUUUUGUUCAAGAAGGAACGGGAAUAAUUUCUCUUUAAGCAAAAUAAAAUAGACUACUAGGAAAAUUUAAAAAGCUUCUAGGAUUAGCGAAAUUACCAUAGAGCCCUCCCAGGGGCUCCACCUAACAACAAAAAUAGUAAUUAUUUAAAUGGUAUGAUUAUUGAGUGACAUGUCGGUGACAGGACGUGUGUCACUGCUUCAGGCGGCGGUGUGUGUGCACUGUGCAAGUGUGAGAGGCUAGUAGAAGAAAUAUAUACAUGACCGACGUGUGUUUCGAUGUCAGUGGAGACCUGGACACGUGUCGCAAUAGAUAGCCAAGUACUGCCUUUGACGUGUCUCUGUUGACCCCAUAAGGAUACCAGAUUAAUGAUAUUCACUGCUAUAUUAAUAUCAUUAAUGGAAAAUCCUGGAUAGAAUUAUAUAUGCUUGAACCUCGAAAGGCCAUGUAAUUGCUUAUUUUUUGGGGGUUUUAGAAUACGUAUGCGACAUACGUGUGUGGUUUAUCAGUUUAUGCAAUGAAUGAAUAUGGAUGAGGGCAAAGGAAUUAAACCAAUAAUAGUAAUUCGGUGACAGGAUUGGUUAUCAUCACACCGCUAAUGAAGAAAGAAAUAAUCCACCUUAACUUUUUUUUUUUUUUCUUUUCACAAAAUACAUAUAGCACUUCUUGUGUUGUGAAAGACGAAAUAGCAAAUUAACUAAAAAUUCAUUCCGUAGGUUAAGAUCACUGGACUACAAAAUGAAUCCGUAGAUAAUUAUAUCUCUGCUUUAAAAUAUAAAACUUAAGCCAUAGUUGACGAUACUUUAAAUUAUAUAUUACUUGAAUUCUAAUGGCUGAGAGAUUCAUAUUUCCGUUCUACUAUAUAUGUAGUCAUGUAGAUAUCAAAUUAUAUAAAAUGUUGUUGUAUUAUUUUUUUUUUUUUUUGUUUAUGUUGUUAACUCCGGAGGGCCACCUCUAAUCUAAAUUCUAAAAAUGGUGACGAUUCAAGUACAAACAAAGCAGAAAUAAUCACAAUCAUUCUCUAUCAUUGGCCUAAACCUCACCAAUUGUCUCAUUAUCCACAACUUAUUAGAUAUAAUAGAUAUACUCUUUCCUCUUCAAUUAUACAAUACAAGCUGCCAUAUAAUUCCUGAUAUAUCCUAACUGUUAGUUGUACCAAACUUAUAUAUUCCAUGAAUCACCUAGAUUCACUUGACGCCUAAGAAAGUAAUAGAUUACUCCAUGUUUAAAUUGACGGGGUUGGGUUUGCUAUUAUUUACCUCAGUUUUAUUUUCUUUUGUUCAAGAGAUUGCGUGAUGAGUCUGAAGAUUCCGGGGAAAAUCAGAGAGGGAUCAUAGAUUCGUGGUCUAUGAGGAUAUGGUUAGGAAUCUUCAAGUUAGAUUCACGUAGAUUCCAUCCAGCAGUAUUCAACUUGAACAAGAAAUCAUCAAACUUUUUGUCCAUCUCCGACAAGCUUUGCUUCAGCCAGUGGAACACACUAUCUUUGUCUUCAAAGCUCUGUUCCAUGUUCUCGUAUAACCAAUAUGCUUGCCAAAGACAUCUCAACACGUCUCUGCUUGUGGCAUUUACCUGCAUUAUUCGUUUCACAUUGAUAAAUAUUAGGGAAAAAAACAGUGUUGUAAAAUGGUUAGACCUCAGAUUCCCUAUAAAUGGGUAAUUUACUUAAUGAAGUAAUAGCAAAAGUAGUUUUAAUGAUAAGAUCAUUAGAGUAAAGAGCCCAUAGACCAUGUAAGUAUUUACUGAUAAAACAACAAAAUGAUAAAUUCUAGCCCCAAAGAAUCCAAGAGUACUGUCCAACUAAGCCGCAAUACUGAAAAUAGCUCCAUAUCCCAUAUGCUUCUCAAGUAUCUUAUUCAAGUAUUAAGAAGCAAACUGUAAAUCAGCAAUGAUCUCUCCUAAGUCCUAACUUGAUAUGCUCAAUUAAUCCCACAAAUGAGUCUCAAGACUCUCAACUAAUCGUGGAGGAGAAUGAGAAGCGAAUAAGUCCUUUAUUGGGCCACGCACAUACCUUAAAGGUUACAGAAAACUCGGUAUCCUUGUUCAACGUAAGAAUAUAUUUCUCCUUUGUGUAGAUCAUAAGGAAUGCUUUGACCUGAAAAAAUGAAGGUUUCAAGAACUUGGACUUGCAAAUAGAAGAUUCUCUCAAGAGUACAUAUGGAUGCAGCUAAAAUGAAAGGAGAAGAAUACUUUAGAAACAGAUUUCUCCAGACCAGAUACUUCCUCAAGAGAUACACCAAAGAUGAUCCGAGGCUUCAUAAAUCUCUGCCAUAACAAAAUGUUUUCUCGUUUGUUGCAGUCAACAUAUCCUGAACAGAGAGAAAAAUCGGUAUUACGUGAAGGUUGAAUAUUAAGCUGGAAAAGGGGAGAAAUAUUCUUACCUGGUACAACGGAGUGCACAACAUGAGAUUGUACUAGGAUCCGAGCACGCUUGAGAUUUACCUGGCAAUGUUUCAAAUCAAAGUAAUUUUAUUUAUCUGCGUUUUCUCAUGUUGGGAUUGUAAAAGGAUCCAUUUCAAAAUUUUACCGUUUUAAAUUGUAGGACUGCAAGCGACUGGUAGCGUAGCCAGAGAUGAACAAGUCUUGUGCUCGUCCAUGUAAGUGACACAAAGGGAAAUGACUUUACAAGGCCCGGGGUGUCCUGCAUCAAGAUUACAGUAUACAAACGCCCAAAAUGAAACCAAGAAAAUAAUUUAACAAGAUUUGAGAAAAUGACCAAACAAAAAGUAACAUACAAUGAUCAGAAUGCCGAGACCAAGACCAAUUAGCUGAGCAGCAACUUCCCACACUUCCUCCUGAAACGUUGAACAAAAAUCGAAGACUCUGCUAAUAGAGGGAACACAUGGCUACUCCAUGCUUGUAUUAGGGGUUUGAUUAUAUACACAUGACUAGCAUACCUUCGCUGCUACCUCUCCAAGAUUCCCUGAGAUGGCAAAAUGAUUCUGAAUCACCCUAAAUGAAGGGUCUCUCAAUCCUCUAGCCACAGCCUAUUUCAAAUUGAAAUCUUAGUACUGCACUCUGUCAAAUAAAGCUUAGCCGAGGAAAAUUCCAAUUAAGAUCUACAUGAAUCCAGGAUUUACAGCUAGAAAGAGGAAUACCUUGGCUAGAUUUCCGGUGGACGCCAACAGAAGAAACUGGGCUGGAUAUAGUUGUGUCGCCAGAUCAAAAAAGCUGCGGAAAAGAAAAAAGAAAAAAAAAAAAAGGUAAAAAAAAAGGUUAACCAAAUAGCACCAAAAAUUUGAAGUCUCUUCAACAAACCUUCCAGCACUGCCAAUAAAAUCUGCAUACAUGCGCCAUUGCUUAGGAUCAUCGUCAAAAAGACUCCCGAAACGUCCACCUGAAAAACAGACCCUUCUUAUUGAAAGAGGUUCUUAGAUAACUCGAUGAACAUUUAUUAAGCUUUCCAUGGUGUCCCUACCAAUAAGAAGACGGCCAAGAGCUCCAAUUCCAUCCUUGGAUACCCAUCUAAAGAGAAAAUACAUUGAUUGAAAACCCAUCUAAAAAGAACAAACAGAUUGCAGCAGCAAACAAACUAAAUUUGCCUUCGCAAAAAAGCAAACCUGAUGGCUGCAGCAGAGGCAGCAGCGGUAGCGGCAGCAGAAGUUCCUGAGAAAGAACCAACGCCAACCGCCUGCAUUGUCGCAUAGGAAAUUCAAGAAAUUUGCAACAUACUCAACACCCAUCUCUAGAACAAGUACAGUCACAAUAACAAGACCUUAGCAAUUUGUAGCAAGUAUAUGACAAAGCAGUAAAUUAAAAAUUCCCGGACAUGCCUUGAGAAGACUUGAGGUGACUAACACAUUACAAAUCCAGCCGGUAAUAUUGGUAGGGAACUGCCACAGCAUGUAGUCCAAGUAAUCAUCUGAAACCGACCCUGCCAUGUGAUUUUACGAGAAUCAUUCGCUGAAUCAUACAUAAUAGGCACUUCUGCAAGCUUAACAUUCUGAGAUUCCAGAAGAGGAAGAAGAGAGAAAGAUACAUGGACUUUUAAGCUAGGAAGUGUACCAGGAAAGCCGGUGGGAAAAACAAAAUCCUUGACAACAUCAGGAAGCCAAAGCAUGUUCGUUUCUGAGGAAUUCGAUUCCUGAGAUUUGUCAUCAGGCUUUGGUUCACGCUCCUCGAGAAAUCCUCGUAAAGGCGAGUCAUCAUCAUCUAGCAAAUAUCUGCCACAACAAGGUCAGUGUAUUUAUAGAGAUAAAAGAGUUGAGAUGAAUCUUGAGCUUUAUAUGAAAUCAGAAACCAGAAGCAGACCUUUUCGAAGUGCCAUUUCCGUAUCUCUCCACCACAAUCGAAACUAGUCCUUGAACUCUAACAGUAAAGAUCAAUCAUCAGCAGUAAGAUACGCAAAACCCCAAUUUGCUAAAAAAAAAGGGCAUUCUAGUUUUUUUUUCUCGAGAAUCAAAACAGGAAAGUGGUUAAAUAAUGAAAAUGCAUCACCUCUUAUCAUUGGCCUCUUCUUCUCCUUCGUCUUCCUCACCUUCGCGGAGACGAUACUGAGCACAGCACCGCAAGUGCUCCACACGGCGUCGUUUCGGCUUACAGGAUGCCAUCGUUCGAGUUCGGGGAACGUGAAGAGGCAACGGAAACCGCAAGGUACGGUACAUGACGAGAGAGAGUUUUUAAGAGUUAAAAGGGUUUAGGGCUCGUUGGUGUAGGGAAGGAUUCAUACAAGACACUUGCUCGACAACUUCUCACUGGAACGCUCAUCUCCUCCUCUUCUUCGUCUGCAUCCGCCAAAUAGAUAGACACCCAAUUCCGUUUCUUUGCAAAAAGCGACGACGUUUAACAGCAUACCGAUACCAUUAAACCGAUUCGAAUUGCUUAAUACGGUUGACAAAAGCGGAUCUAAUAGUACUGUAUAUAAUAAACGUAUAGUCGGACCGGACAUAAGAGACAUUUUAUUCAUUACCAUACUACCCUCUCUGGGCGGGCUUCGUGAUGAAUUCAAUUCAAGAACGAUUUUGACCACACACAUUUAAAAAUACAAACACACACACAAAAAGAGAGAAGGAAAAAAGAGAGCUUCCAAAGACCCAAAACGGCGGUUUCAGGUUUGUACAUCGGUUGUGUUAGGAUUUGCUUUCUUGCGAUUAUCAUCCGCGAUUCUUUGGAACUCCUUCUCACUUGCUGCUAUGAGUUUCUUGACGAUGUCGAAUGUUGUAAGCUUAAUACUGAAACGACACAAAGAGAGUAUUCCGAAUUGGUAAUACUGAAACAAAAAAAAAAGAAAAUCAAAAGCUGGUACUUUGAUCAGAAGUGAUUUACCUGCUGUUUGGCAUGCUUUUGAGGGCAUUGGGAACAAAACCACGGUACAAGCCAAUAACUCCUUCACGCUCAAUGAUACCUGUACAGCGGUUGAGGAUAAGCCGGUCAGUCAGCCGAAACUGAUAGACUUUAGGUUUUGACGAGAUAAAGAUUUUGUUUCAUAACUUUUUACCUGAGAAAGCGUCGAAUACGGAUUUAUAUGGAGUACCCUUCAAUUGCAUCUGUCUUCUAAUGGUAUCUAACGGGUAGCAAGUACCGGUAGCAAUGGCAGCAGCGACUACUGCUGUUAACAAAGAUGAUUGUGUCUUUUUUUGAUACUUCUCUGGCAAAGAUUUCUUUACCCUGCAGAUAUAUAUAAACUGUAAACAAUCGACUAAAACAUUUCCAGGUGUAAUGUUUUAUGUUUAACGGCUAGUAGACCUACAGAUCAAAGACGCAGAAGUUGAUGGCGAUGUAAGGAGCUAUACUUAAAAGCGAAGGACCAAGACCGUUAUAGAAUGAUGCAAGUCCUUCCUCCCGGAGCAUGUUCAAGGCAACCUUAGAUGUGACAUGUUGCGCAUUUUUAUUCGAUGAAUUUAUGGAACGUAGAGUUGGUCUAUAAUGCGACGAACGAACAUACCUGGGACAUGGUUCGAUACCCUGGUUCAACAGCUAACCUCAAUCUCAGCACAUCUAAAGGAUAUGUAAUCUGCAUAACGUAAACAGAUUCUAAGGCAUUUAAGGAUUUUUCCAGCUAGACUAGACGAACUCACUCAGGCCUAUAAACAACAUUAGUUACCAGAGUAGACGUCAUCCCCGCACAAGCACCAGCCCCAAGCCUUCCAAGAACAGACAAUUGACCGUCUUCUCCCCUAAAGAGUUUCUGAAAAAGAAAAAAAAAACAUAAAAAAGGGCAAAAUGUGCAGAAAAAGUUAGUGAUUAGACGGUUUUGAAACUUUUGAAAUGAAAACAACAAACAGAUGUGCAAAGAUUAUAUACCUUGUAUGUUUCAUAUGCAAACAACUGGACUGCGCUAUAAGGUACGAUCCUUAUCACCUGGAACAUUCAGGCUAAGAUUAUGGGCAAUCAUGUUCUACCUUUUCUAGACAUUUAUUUAUGUAAGAGAUUGUGAGUACCUGAGGUAGGUUUCCUUUCCAAUAACCUUUAACGCCUUCUUCUUUUCCAAUAAGCAUAAUCGCCUGUAGUUAUAUUCCAAAUUACAAAGCCAGAUCAAUAAGAGAGUACAAAACCAAUCCUCUACAUUACAUGAUUUUGAGUAUAUACCUCUAUGAAACCAAUAGCCUUCUUAGCACUUUGUUGCCCAGCUCGAACGCCGUGUGUCUGUGAAUUCAAAGACGUAAAUUACAUUGUAACAAUCAAUGAACAUUGCUGUAGGUUCCCUUAAGGUAUAUAUCUUCUUGACUUGAGAUAAUGAAAUUCACAUCAUGGUCUAAAUCAUCCAUGCAGCAACUCAUGGAAGGAUACAAAUGCAAACGAUAUAACCAAACCAUAUCUUAAUGUGUAAGAUAGCGCGCACACACAAUUCUUUCUUGUAAGUAGUUAACAUCUUUCUAAUUAAAGUAUAUAUAUAUACUCGUCGAAAAUGGAACUACAGUAGUCUCAAACGACGGCGUAUUUAUAAUGCUCACCAGUCAACACCAAAACUAGCAUUUUUGUUGAUUAUAAAAGAAAAAAAAAUGGGAGAAAAAACAAAACACGUGCCACAAAACCUCGAAGUUGUUGAGAAUGAAAGGAGAAAGCCUACCUGCAUAAGGAGCUUUAUACGGUCAAGCGGUGCCGUCACAGAUUUCGCGGCAGCUCCGGCGAAUGCUCCGGCAAAGAACAGUGCGGCGUCUUUCGGUACAAAUGACAGAAGAGCGACCGGAUUUUUCAAUAGCUGAGCCGAAGUGGGCGCGAAUUCGUCCUCUUCCUUGAGAAUCACUUUCUCUGCCACCGAAACGGACGCGAAAGCAUUGCCUACGCCCCCAUUUCCACCAUUAAACUCAGAUUCCUUCCGAUCUCUCAUAAUAGCUACCGAUACUGAGGCGAAAUUGCUCAAAACGCCACCGCUUCUUCUGUUCCCUCUCCGGCGAUUCCACGACACGUUGUUCUCCAGCCUCCAUGAAGGUUCCUCGGUGAGAGCGAAAUCAGACGUCCUGAGCGAAGGGAUACUACGGAAUUGAAAUAGAGAUUUCUCGUCUCCCAUGGCGGAUCACUUCGAAGACUUUUCGAAUUUCGGAUUUUUUUCUCGCCUGAAAUUUAUUGCAAAAAAUGGAGUCCAAUGUAUAAAUUGUCUCCGGCGGUGGCAUUACUGUAAAUAGUAGUCAGUACUUAAUGGGCUCAGUUGGGCCUUCUCCGAGACUUUGAAUAUAUCAGUAAAACUUUGAAACAAAUAAAUUUCCCUGACUCUUCUUUUUUCCUAGAGUUUGCGGACAUUGCGGUGAAGAAAUGAGCCGAACUUGAAAAAAAUGAAAAGAUGUUGGCAAAAUGACCCGAUAGAACCUCACUUCUGGAUAUCUCAAGAACUCGGUAAACUGGCCGACUUUAUCGCAGAAUUAGAUUUCUUUUACCUUUUCUGAAAAUUCUAGCAUAAUUAUAUUAUAUAUUAGUUAGAUGGAGUAGGUUCCAUGAAAUCAUCGUUUACGGGUCAAAACUUAGAUUAAUCAGGUUUAUAGAUAGACUUUUUUUUUUUUUGCUCAAGGAAUCCUUGAUAAAAAUGAUGGAAGAAAAAAAACUAUAUCCUUAAAAAAAUAAUAAUAUAAUACUAUACACAAAUAAUUCAAAAAUUAUUAUAUGAAAACAAAAAACGAAAGAAAAAAACGGUAAAAGGGGAAAACAUCGUCCAUUUACCUGCAAAAACAUGAACCACACAUAUCAUAAUAUAUACAUCACUCUGAAAAUUAAUUUUCUUUAGAAGUAAGUUUUUUUUUACUAUUUAUGAUUGUUACUUGACAAUCAAAACUAACAUGUUAUAUUAGAUUCUAUAAAAUGUUAUAUUUUUAUAUUUUGUUUGCUAUUGUGAAUGGAUGAGCAAGUAGUUCACUCAUUGGUACUCUCGAACUUUGAUCUUUAAGCACAGAGGGGAGUCAGGAGUGUAUUGCUAUUUUCCGUUUAUAAAAAUAUCAGUCUUUGAUUAUUGAACAUGACUUAAUAUCAAACAUAACUUACCUUUUCGUCAAAUUAUGAUUAGUUGUAUUGGUUUCGGCUGCAAUUGAGAAAAUACAAAGCAAAUGAAUACACCAUACUAUUAAUCGUACGAAACAGUAAUAAUGAAAAUUUAUGAUACUAUACAUUAAUGAACCAAUAAAAGCUUACUUGAGGGUGAAUUAGAGACAAAGAAGCAAGCAGCAAUGACAGUAUAGCACAAGAGAAGAACCAAGCCUUUCAUGUAGUUCGAAGUCCCAUCCUAUCAUUCAUGUAAUGUAUUAGAUAUAUAAGAUUAUACAUCCGCAUUAUUCAAAGCAUCAUAUAUUUAAUCAAAUUACUUAAAUUGAGGAAACAUGAAAUUACACCUGCAAUGUGAAGGAAGUGACGAGGAUGGACAAGGCAAGACAAGCGGUCUCAAGGAGGUUGAAGUUAAGAUCCAUUUCUAUUCCCAUUGUCCAUGCCACCAACACUGUCACCGGUACCUUAAUUGAAAUUAUAGGAUUACUUGAAUUAAAUUUAAAUUAUGUUGAAAACCUAAGCUACAAGUUAAAAGAAAAACAGUGAGCACCAGGUUAAUUAAUAUAUUUUUUUCUGGCAAAAACGCUAUAUUUUUAUUAUCUAAACUUGAUAAUGUGGCAUCCGAUAUAUGGCCAAACAUUUAUAGUAGAUUUUUAAAAUGUAUAAUAAGAAAAUGUUGUAUAUAUACCUUUUUUUUUUGUUUGACACUAAAUAUACUCCAAAUUGGAGGAAUAGAAGAAAGACUUUUUACUAACUUAAAUUCAAUAGAAAAAAUAUGAUUAAUUAUAAGGUGAAAAACCAAAGAUCGAUUAGCUUACCACGAACAAAGCAAUUUGUGUUGCAGAACCGAGAGCAAUUCCCAGAGUUAUGUCCUGUACGUACGUUUUAAAAGUAUAUAUCAAAUUUUGUUUUUUUUUUCAGUCGGAAUAAGUAAAUAGAUUAUAUUAAAGAAAAGAAGAUUGAUGUACAUUUGGAUCGCUUUUCUAUAAUAAAAGAAAGAAGAAGAAAAAACAAAAUUUGAUCGCUUACUUAUAUAUAAAUGGAGAAAAAAAAAAGCGAAGUAAAACGUACGAGUUUGUUACGGAAGGCGAAGAUGACAGCACCAGCAUGCUCAGCUGCAUUACCAACAAUUGGUAGCAAUANNNNNNNNNNNNNNNNNNNNNNNNNNNNNNNNNNNNNNNNNNNNNNNNNNNNNNNNNNNNNNNNNNNNNNNNNNNNNNNNNNNUUUUACUCGUAAUGGACUGGGGUCAAUUAAUUAAAUUUAAGUUUUUCAAGAUUAUACUAUAUUUUUCAUUUAAUAUAAACAUCAUAUCAUAACAUAUAAACUCUAAUGCGAUAUAUGGGUUUAAUACAAUCGUUUGCAUAAAUCUGCAACUAACUACUGAAAAUACUUAGAAGUGUAUGGAUUUUCAUUUCAAAUUCAUUUAGGAACUAAUGAUUUGGUUCAGGUAUACAACUAGAGUUUAAUUAACUUAUAUUGUCUAAUAUGAGCUUCCUUAUACUGUAUAAAAAAAAAAAAAAUUAGUCAACGUAGGUGCUACCUCGAGUUACAGUGCAAUUUGGUGACCCUCGAUCUCUAUUGUAACUAUAACAUACCUGGAUAGUGGAGACAAGGUAGUCGGAGAGUAAAGCAACGAGGAGUGUCAUUAUAAUAAGCCAGAAAAUCGCACACCACAGUCCAAUUACAGCUUCUUCUUCUUCUGCAUUGUCACCAACGUCAUCGUCAUACACAUCCUCUUCUUCCUCCUCUACGUCCCUCUUUUUUUAUAUAUAUAUUAGCGAAGCAAUAAACAUUAGAUAUGAGGAAACAUGCACCACAAUUAAUCAAUGUCAUAAAUAUUUUGAAGGGUUUUAGAGAGAGAGAGAGAACCUGUGGAGGAGGAGGAGGAGGAGAGAGACGAGAAGGGAAUAGGUGAAAGAUGAGGAAAGCCAAGUAAGCAAAGAGCAUAACGAAGCUGCUUGCUCUUGACAGAACAACCACAUAUGAUCCAUCUUCGCUUGCUGUGAGUAUUUCCUCAACUCUUGGAACUAAAACAUUAGCAUCUGUUCCUGUUCCUCCAGCCUCUGUUGUGAGUCUUAAUAUCAUUGGUAGUGUUUGACACAAUAGCGCCAGGUACAGCAAUAUGCAGUUCAUAUCUCCUUGUCUCUGUUCUUGUAAAAAAUCAAAGACGUGAAAAUUCUAUGAAAUUGUGUUCCAUCAUUGUAUUCGAAAUGUUUAGAGGUUAAAAAAAAAUAGACAGUGAUAUAUGAAUCUUACUAAACCGCUUUUGCAUUUUUAUGAGAAAAAAACCCAAUAGAAAAUGCUUUUAUAAACAUAAAUUUUGUUUGUGUUUAUAAUUCGGUGAACACAGCAAGAAUAUACACAUUAUUAAAUUAGUUAAACUGAACCUCUGACCCAAAAAAAAAAAGAGGUUAACUGAACUAAACCAAGAUGUGAAUACCGGUAGAAACCAAAAUUUUAACGAACUAUUAAAACCCGGAUAACCCCAAAAGCCGAACCAACCGAACGAAAUUUCGAAAAUACCCAAACCUCUUGAUGACUCUGGUAGCUGAAACGAAAUGGAAAUAUUGGGACGAGAUAAUUUGGACUUACGCGGUCGAAAGAUUGGAGUUUGCGGAGAUUGGAGAGACCACCAAAGAAGAGAGAAGUGCCUAAGACGAAGAGAAGAUUGGAGAGGAUAGAGCCAAGAAGUGAGAGUUUCACUAUCCUCAUCUUCCUUUGUCCAACCGCUAGAAUCGCUAUUAUCAUCUCCGUCGCGUUCCCACAAGUCGCGUUCAUUAAUCCCCCGACUUCAUUCAUUCAUCCAAUUAUUUCCACCAUUAAUUUCAUAUUCCCAAAUAUUAAAACCGAGAAAUUAAUAAUCCGAGAUCAAUGCAUGCACUCUUAAAUAUCAGACUUUAAUGUGCCUAAAAUUACUGUAUAGUUACAAACAAAAAAAAUGCACUUAGUUUGGUGCAAUUUCUAUAGUUAAAACGGAAGUCAGUUUCGUGCUGGAUAAUUCGGUUCUGUUCAAAUGAUACACUACAUUAGUCGGGAAACGAAAAAAAAAAAAAAAAAGUAUCACCUGUUGGACCGGUAUGAAAAGCAAUUUGCCUGAUAAGGAAGAAUAGAAAAAUAACAUUAAAAAAUGAAUUUUGGAAUUAGAAUUUAUUUAUCGGUAAUAUUUUUUAUGAAAAAAAUGAGAGAGAUUAGUAAUAAUAAUUACUCUGUGAGAAAACUGAUACGUUCAGCCAAAGGUAUCAAUCCAAGCAAGCUCAACGCAAAGACCCACGCCUGUUUUUUUGUUACACACAACAAAAACAUAUAUAAAUUAAAUUAACGUAACUAAACUAAAAAUUAACAAUACAUAAUUGGGAAAGUUACAUUGACUUGUUAAAAAUUCCGAGAGUAUAGUAUACUGUGAAAUUAAACAAAAAAUAAUAGAAAUAAAACAGCAUACACGUGGAGAUCCAUAGCGGUGAGCGACGAAAGCAAGAGGAACGGCGGGGAAGAGAAGAAAGAGUUUAGUGCCGAGAACGACUUCCUGAAGAUUCGCUAAGAUUCUUCUCAGAAACUCCCAACGAACUCUCGAGAUCAGCUUUAGAUCCGAUCUUUUCCUUAUCAACGACGUCGCUGAUAGAUUCUGUACCGUUCGCCGGUUAUGUCUCGAUAUCUCCGCCGUCUCUCUCGCCGUCAGCAGCUUCUCGCUUCCUCCGCCGCCGCAACCGCAGCUCCAGCCGCCAUUUUCCACGAGGGAGAGACUCGGCGAUGAUUCCGUACUUAUCGUAGACAUUUCCUUCGUUGACUCUUCGCUAAAAACUAAAAACCGUUUUUCCCUUUGAAUCUGUGUUUUGAGUCGUGAAUAUGUAUUUAUCCUAUAAAAGCUGUCGCGUGUGAUUCGUGAACGUUUUCUUUGCAUAUAUAUAUAUAUAUAUAUUUCUUUUUGACGUCUUUGUUUAAUCAUUUUUUAUUUUAUUUUUUCGGUCAACGUUUAUGUGUCUACCAAGUUUGUAUCUAAAUUAGAUACAGAUGGGGACAAUUGCCACCAAUAAAUUUCUAAGAUUUCUAAGUUUGAUUCCAUUAUCUUCGAAGGAGAUAACGAGAGCUUGGUCAAAAUUGUUGAAGGGCAACAAGAAGAUAUUUCUAUUCUUAAUCUCUUUGAUGAUAUAAAAGAUUGGAAACAACAGUUUACUCAUAUUUCUUUUUCACAUGUCAAACGAAAUGGAAAUACGGCUCCACAUUUUCUUUACUCAUAUUUUCAAACGAAAGUUUACGAAAUGGAAAUACGGCUCGUAAUGGUCCUCCAAACAAUAUUUUUUUUUCAGAUUGUAUUUAUCCACCAAGAUGGCUCACUAAAACGUUGUAUUCUGAUUUUGUGACAUCAAUUUAAUAUAUAUAUAUAUAUAUAUUUUCGCUGAAAAAAAAAAAGUAAAGGAUUAAAACUAAUUCGCCCCCACUACAAAAUCUCAUUCACCACCACUAAAUAUUUCUUGUCCAAUCAACUAAGCUAAUUGAAUAUUCUCUUUUGAUUAUUUUCCUUAUUUUCAAAUUUAUUUAAUCACAAACAAUUGAUUUUAAUUUAACUAUGAUAACAAAAAAAUAUUUCAGUUUGGCCAAUAUCUUUUGGGAUUCACUGUGGAAAUUUAAAUGAUGUAUUUUUAGAAAGUAGAUUAAUCGUUAUCUUCAUUUCUCUCUUUUUUUUUCCCUUUUCUUGAUUGGAAAGUUAUUUGUAAAAUCAUUCGAAUUCUUUUAAUAAUAUUAUCCGUGUCUUAUUCCACACAGAUUUGACGAAUCGUCGUCCCAUAUAAAAUCAAAAUAUUAGCUUAUGUCCAGACUUCAUCUUGCGAAGCUCGCUCGAAAUUUCUAAAAGUCAAUAGGUACGUAGCCUUAAUUUAGAAUAAUCAAGUGCUUUCGACUUUUAUAUGCAUUUGGUGGCCCGGGGCCUUAAAAAGAAAGAAACAAUACAAAACAACCAAAAUAUACUAUUUCUUAAUCGAUGGCAAACAAAAUUGACACCAUAACUACGGAAUUGUUUGUUUAUAUACAUCUACGAUUCUACGACACUACGUUACGCAAAUCUGCUUUGUGAAUGUUUUGAGCUAUUUCUACUUUUUAGUAAUCAUAUCUUUUUUUAUAGAUUGUCUGUUUUUUUUUAUUUCACCUUAACUUUGACCCAAAAAGCAAAAAUCCAAAUAAGCUGCAAGCGUAACAUACAGAACACUAAAUUUCAGAGGCGAGCGAUCUGUGGAAGAUUCAUGAGUUUUCAUUAACCUAUUCUUGAGGAUUCUUUUUCUUUGUUUUUCAGAGGUUGGUUACUCUAAGAUUGAUGCAAUAAACUCGGUUUCCGAGAUGCUUCACCUCGAGGCCAGCAUCUUCGCAACCAGUAAAGAAAUAAGACUCAUCGUCUUUCCCGAUUCUUCGUCUCCAGCUCAUUAAGAACGCAGGGCGAGGCAGUUCCGUGUCUGCUCCUACAAGGUAAAAGGGUAUUGAUAAGAUCUCUUAUGGUGUGAGGUUGUGAUGACAAAAAGAAAAGGAGUUUUGAAAAUGACACUGACCAUUUAGCCUGCAUUCCGUUGGACAAACGACAUUAGCAUCUUUUGGUUUGUAGGCUUUGAGAAGAAAAGUGAGAGACUUUAUCAAGUUUGGGUACUGUUUCACAUCUGCAAGGGGAAAAAAAGCAUGGAAAUGUAAAUAUAUAUAGUUUUGGGAUAAACCGAAUGGGAAAGAAGAAGGUAUUUCAAUAUUUCAUUUACAUAGAAGGAUAUCACUGGCAAUGAUCAAAUCCCAAUCUGGUUCCGGUAUUGGAAAUUCAUCUCCCCAUGUAUCUGUCAUAAUAGACAAGAAUAAAGUAAAGAGAGCAAAGGACAAGAAAGCGAUUCGAUGUGAGUGGUAAAGGAAGCUCACGCUUGAUAUGGGGCAGAGAAGGGAUUAGUUUGUUUGCAAUACAGUUGUGAGCAAUAUUGUCUUCAAUCUCCUGAUCAGCGUAGUCUGAAGUAGUUAUGUCGAGACUAAACUCUUUGGCAAGAAAGAUAGCUAGAGCACCCGUGCCGCUGCUUAUUUUGAUUUCAAGACGAGAGAACCUGGUCAGUGUCGAAGAACAGUGGCCUUGGCAUAUAUAUAUAUAUAUAUAUAUAUAUAAAAGCGCAGUUGGGAACUAGGACACAAAGAGAAAGAAAGGAAGUACCUUCCAAUCUCGAGACAACGCCGCCUUUGGAUAAAGUGUCGAUGCUGCAAUAACCAAUCUGCAAAGGCAAAUGUACCUGGCCACAGCAAGUUUGCAUUCAGCUGGUGGAAACCGAAUUCCCGGAUAUGCAAUUCCUGUUCCAACAAGGAAUAAUCACUCAUUACUUUUACUUGUGUGUGUAAUACUCUAAACACCUAAAACUUUAAAGCUCAGUAACUAAAUCAUUCUUCAAGAACAACGAAUUCGUGGAUUCCACAGUUAAACCCCCCAAAAGUAACCUAAUGAUGUAAAUAUUAGCCCUGCAAAUCAGAAGCUCAGGUAACGGAGAACAUCAAACUAAAAUCGGGAAUCGAAUCAAGUAAGAGACUGAUAUCGGGAGCGAAGAAAUUACGAUUCCAGGAAACUGGUGAUUCCUCUCAACGAAGCUCUGGCUCGUCUCCGUCGUCUCUCCAUCUGAGAAAAAAAAUUACAAUUACGUUUCGCUAUGUAUGUACAUUCUUCGAUCAAAAAGACGAGUAGAGAUAUAACUGACCGGAGGAGUCAUCGUCGCCGGCGAAGAGGGAAGAUGGCGAGAAGAGAGCUAUAUCCAUGGCAGACGUAGACAGACCGUCUCGACUCACUCUUUUGCUCUUAAGACUACGAAAUUUUGUUUUUUUUGUUUUUCUAAUUUAUUAUGACGACAGCUGAAGACUUCAGCCUGAAGUUGACCAAGUAGGGAAAUUUUACGAGGUGAAAAUCGAUUAAACAUUCUAGCAGGCCACUACAGAUCAAAGUGUUCAAGCAGAAGCCCGAUCAUCUCCUAUAGCUUCACCAAGCAGUUUCAUCUUGUUGCGCCUCCGAUCACCACCAAAGUAAUUUGGCUGAAACCAUGUCCUCUAUUUUUUCCAAGAUAAACCAUCCCAUCCCAACGUCAAAACGUAAUGGUUACAUGGACGAGGUAUUCGAAAUGAUACAAUAGACAUAAGUAAUAGUUACAUGAAUUUUGUCCCCACACAAUCUCAAGUUCUCAACCAAGUAAUGGUCAUAUGAACGGGUAUUCCAAAUACAAAGAAGAAAGCCUACUGUUACACAAGAAAGAAGAAUAAAAAGAGUGUAGGGUACAACAACAACUGAGACCUUCUCGUAGAUACAAAAAGAAGAAAGGGAAGA
rnacentral:lncRNA from 1 species